rnacentral:misc_RNA from 1 species
AAUUGAUGUUGUCCAAGGGUGGUAUGGAGCGUACUCCUAUUGACAUUAGUAAAAUCCUACAGAUUUCUUUUUCUCAUACUCUUGGUGGGCGUACAAGGCUUGCUGUUUAUUCUCUAAUGGUUAAUUAUGAUAGUUCGCUACUCAUCUAGUGGAAACCAAUGUGCAUUUGUUCAUGCGGUUGUGUUAGCAUUGAAUAUUGAAUGAUCUUCUCUGCCCAUG